UACGUAGGGUGCGAGCGUUAAUCGGAAUUACUGGGCGUAAAGCGUGCGCAGGCGGUUAUGCAAGACAGAUGUGAAAUCCCCGGGCUCAACCUGGGAACUGCAUUUGUGACUGCAUGGCUGGAGUGCGGCAGAGGGGGAUGGAAUUCCGCGUGUAGCAGUGAAAUGCGUAGAGAUCCGGCGGAACACCGGUGGUGAAGGCGGUCUCCUGGGCCGAGGGCCGACGCUGAGGCGCGAGAGCGUGGGGAGCGAACCGG
rnacentral:rRNA from 1 species